AUUCCACUGUGAUCUCUUUGGUCUCUCGCUUCCAAAGUGUAACACAGGUAUGAAGAACAUAUACGUAUAUUUAUCUCAAUCCUGUUUAGUUUAGAUGGGUGGAUUAUGUUACUUUACAUUUUAUUUAAUAUUGGAUUGCUGUUUUAUUCUGUGUUGAUCUAUGGAUGUGGGUACCCAGUCACAAAGAGACGGACACGACUAAACAACAACAACCCAGUGCGAUGCAGUGGAUAAACAAAGAGUCGGACACGACUAAACAACACCAACAAACCAGUGUGAUGCAGUGUAUAAGAGUGACAAACUGGGACUCUGGAGACCAGGGUUCGAAUCCCCAGCUGACCACGGAAACUCACUGACCACUCCUUAAAUAUCUCACUUGACUUGAGUGCCUUGUUAGGGUCUGCUAUAAAUCGGUUCCAACUUGAGGGCGCAUAACGAACAAUCUAUUGAUGCAACAGCUGCUUGCAACUGGUUGUAUUGCUUUUGAAUGGAUGUCUUUGUUGUUUGGUGUAUCGCUGAGACGCUUUGGCCAUCGUGGGCGGGAAAAGCGGAAUAAGAAGGUACAGGCAAUGACGUCACUUUAUCUCCUCACAGGAUGGUUUCCACCAAACUUGAACAGGUUGGAGAGAUAGAGUUUGUCCAGCUGGUGCCACUGACCACUCCGAGGGCCGUCGUUAGCCGUUUUUUCUACAUGUGCUUGGUUCUCGCUGGAGCCCAGUUCGUGCACCUGGAACAGAGCGAGCCGUACGGACGGAUCCUCCUUCAGCCGGGGGCUCGUUUCCCCCUGAGCUAGCCACCCCCUGCGGCUCCCGUUCCUGCCUGAUCGCACGCACCAGGAGAGUUGAGGGUGCGCAGAGUCUCCUGCCCUCCCACCCCGCAAGGAGGGGGAGCGAUCCGGUACUCCAGGGCUUGAGAGAGAGAGAGAGAGAGAGUCUUCCUGUUCCAAACCUUUUAGAGUCGGCAAGAUGCAUUUAUGGAUCGAGAGCCAUUAAGAAUCCUUGUUUCCUACCUAAUUGAAUAAAGAUGUUCUGCGUUAAUAUAGCCUUUCCGAC
rnacentral:lncRNA from 1 species